rnacentral:rRNA from 1 species
UACAGAGGUGGCAAGCGUUGUUCGGAAUUACUGGGCGUAAAGGGCGCGUAGGCGGCUUUGCAAGUCCGGGGUGAAAGCCCCCAGCUCAACUGGGGAAGUGCCUCGGAUACUGCGGAGCUCGAGGGAGGUAGGGGCGGAUGGAACUUCCGGUGGAGCGGUGAAAUGCGUUGAUAUCAUUUGGAACGCCAAUGGUGAAAACAGGUUGCUGGGAGUGUGCUGACGCUGAGACACGAAAGCCAGGGGAGCGAACGGG